rnacentral:rRNA from 1 species
GACGAACGCUGGCGGCGUGCCUAAUACAUGCAAGUCGAACGCAGUGGGGACGGGUGAGUAACACGUGGGUAACCUCCCAUCAGAGGGGAUAACACUUGGAAACAGGUGCUAAACCGCUACUGGUGGAUGGACCCGCGGUGCAUUGGCUAGUUGGUGAGGUCACGGCUCACCAGGUCCACGAUGCAUAGCUGACAUGAGAGGGUGAUCGGCCACAAUGGGACUGAGACACGGUCCAGACGCCUACGUGAGGCAGCAGUAGGGAAUCUUGGGCAAUGGACGAAAGUCUGAAGGAGCAACGCCGCGUGAGUGAAGAAGGUUUUCGGAUCGUAAAACUCUGUUGUUAGAGAAGCGGUAUCUAACCAGAAAGCAACGGCUAACUCCGUGCCAGCAGCCGCGGUAAUAC